rnacentral:lncRNA from 1 species
CGACAUGCUUGCAAUGUCAAGUGCCUCAAGUGUGGGAAGUGGGGAAGCAACAACGCGCGUGCUCAGAGUCUUUGAUAAUGACAGUGGAUGUCACAAAUUUGAUGCCGUGUGGGGCUGAUUGGCUGUUUACCAGGUAGUUUUCUGUAGUUGACGGAAGUUUCUCUCAAAGAGCAAAACGGUGUUUAUUUCAGAGAAUACAGUAACUGCGGUUACCAUGGACAAUGUGGAAAAUGUUAUGUUAAACACCUCGGUGCCCACCAGACGCCGGAUAUUUUGUUAAACCAAACCGUUGGUCAAAUAUAACGGGAGUGGUUCUUCCGGGAACGGCUAACUGCUAGCUUGUCAGGAGACUCUUCGUUGCUUUCCCUGUGUGUUCAGAGGAGAUUCACCUGGUCAAAAACAAAUUGACAGCCCAUACAAACGGGGAAUUGAACAGUAACAUGUGGAGGAGAAGAACAGGUGAAGCAGACGUGCGUGGACAAUCGGAUCAAACGGAUGCACUGAUUUUGACUGGAGGGAAGAGCCGCAGUUACUCACGGGGAUGUGCUGAUGCUGUGCCGAGUGAGGCGACCGGUGGAGGUAGGAUAUGAGUUACUUUGUGAGUGGCAGAAGAGAGGGGGAGUGGUGUCAUGAGGAAAGAUGUUUCUGAUUUACCCUCGCCUUCCC